AAACCAUACAUAUUCAAGAAAAUUAAUGAGCAAUCCAACAGAGAUUAUCACCACAGGGCCUAGAAACGAGUUGCUAAAGGGAUAACACUUCACUCAAAACAAGAUAAACAAAGAAACACUGGUUUAUCUGCGUAUACAGAGGUGUUCAACAGAAUCAAACUUGGCACCAAAACGAGAGGGGGCCUUGGAAGCAUAAGAAACACACGGAUACGGGGGGCAAUAACAAGCAUUUACAUUCAAUCACUCGUGAGAAAACUUUUGAUUAACAAGUGAAUAGAAAGGAAUAGCAUGUCACCUUGUUUCGAGCAGCGAUACCGCGGACAGGACGAGUUGAGAUA
rnacentral:misc_RNA from 1 species